GGAUUGUAGGCUGCAACUCGCCUACAUGAAGCUGGAAUUGCUAGUAAUCACAGGUCAGCAUACUGUGGUGAAUACGUUCCCGGGCCUUGUACACACCGCCCGUCACACCAUGAGAGUUGAGAAUACCCGAAGUCCAUAUCAAAGUGGCCGAAGGUAGGCUUGAUGAUUGGGGUGAAGUCGUAACAAGGUAUC
rnacentral:rRNA from 1 species